rnacentral:lncRNA from 1 species
AUGGUAUUGUAUUGCCCAAACCCAUGUACUGUGCAUCUGACUUGCAGCAUCACCUCUACUGAGGUGUCCAAUUUAACUCUUAAAGGUACUUUUCUCUUCGGGCAAAGGGUCCAGUGGCACCACUGCUUAAAUAGGUUACAGCUUGGGAUGGAUGGUGUGGUGGGAAGCAUUGCUCUUAGGGCUGACCUCCCUUCUCUUCCUCCAGCUGCUCUCCGCAGAUCCGCCUUUCGUUGGUACCUGAGGAUACUAAAGCCUUUAUGUAUCCCCCUGCACAACUGCUUGGGCUGCACAGCACGUAGCUGCAAGCUCAGUAAGCAGCCACUGGUGCAUCUGCAACGCUGCCCUCCUUCCAUGUUCCCUGCAUCACAUCUCCGCCGCUCUUCACGCAGGAAGAGCAGCCACUUUGAGACCCAGCAAAGCUUCUUCUUCACAAGGACGUACAAUAGACCUGAGAGCCCAAGCUGGGCAGACCAGAGCGACUUGGUGGUGAAUCUUGGCAAGAGAGUUCCCCUGCACUGGGAAGGCUUGCGCAGAGAAGCGGUGCGUGGGAUUGGUGAGAGAGAACCACAUAGCAGCAACGGGGAGCUUAGCCAGGGGGCUGAGGAGCAUCACACAGGAGAUGUGAAGAACCCCGCUGAGAUCAUGGGGUCUCAUGGAUCAGGAUCUGGGGAACUAUACUCAGGGGACCAAGAGAUCCUUGGCUCUACAGGCUCUUCCUCCUCCGGCCAGGUCUUAUGCAGAACAAGGAGCAUGACCCGACGCCAAACUUGGGAUUUGCCCAAACCCCAAGUCUCACUAUUAGCAGUAGACCCCAAACUUUCCCAGUAUGCUCAUGUCCGCUUGGAGAGCCUCCUCUUUAGAGGCAGGCAGUGCUGGCAGCAGCCCCCUCCAGACAAGGGGAAGGAGGAGCCGACAGAGGAGCAUCCUCCUCCAAAGCAAAUUGUUUCCUUUCCCCCUUUUGUGCCACCCAAGCGGUUUCGACUGGUUGUAAGCCACGGCUCCAUCAACCUUGAAGUGGCCUCCAGCUCCUGUGAGGAGUUAUCUUGA